rnacentral:rRNA from 1 species
CUGAAACCGUGUGCUUACAAGUAGUCAGAGCCCGUUAAUGGGUGAUGGCGUGCCUUUUGUAGAAUGAACCGGCGAGUUACGAUUUGAUGCAAGGUUAAGCAGUAAAUGUGGAGCCGUAGCGAAAGCGAGUCUGAAUAGGGCGUUUAGUAUUUGGUCGUAGACCCGAAACCAGGUGAUCUACCCUUGGUCAGGUUGAAGUUCAGGUAACACUGAAUGGAGGACCGAACCGACUUACGUUGAAAAGUGAGCGGAUGAACUGAGGGUAGCGGAGAAAUUCCAAUCGAACCUGGAGAUAGCUGGUUCUCUCCGAAAUAGCUUUAGGGCUAGCCUCAAGUGAUGAUUAUUGGAGGUAGAGCACUGUUUGGACGAGGGGCCCCUCUCGGGUUACCGAAUUCAGACAAACUCCGAAUGCCAAUUAAUUUAACUUGGGAGUCAGAACAUGGGUGAUAAGGUCCGUGUUCGAAAGGGAAACAGCCCAGACCACCAGCUAAGGUCCCAAAAUAUAUGUUAAGUGGAAAAGGAUGUGGCGUUGCCCAGACAACUAGGAUGUUGGCUUAGAAGCAGCCAUCAUUUAAAGAGUGCGUAAUAGCUCACUAGUCGAGUGACACUGCGCCGAAAAUGUACCGGGGCUAAACAUAUUACCGAAGCUGUGGAUUGUCCUUUGGACAAUGGUAGGAGAGCGUUCUAAGGGCGUUGAAGCAUGAUCGUAAGGACAUGUGGAGCGCUUAGAAGUGAGAAUGCCGGUGUGAGUAGCGAAAGACGGGUGAGAAUCCCGUCCACCGAUUGACUAAGGUUUCCAGAGGAAGGCUCGUCCGCUCUGGGUUAGUCGGGUCCUAAGCUGAGGCCGACAGGCGUAGGCGAUGGAUAACAGGUUGAUAUUCCUGUACCACCUAUAAUCGUUUUAAUCGAUGGGGGGACGCAGUAGGAUAGGCGAAGCGUGCGAUUGGAUUGCACGUCUAAGCAGUAAGGCUGAGUAUUAGGCAAAUCCGGUACUCAUUAAGGCUGAGCUGUGAUGGGGAGAAGACAUUGUGUCUUCGAGUCGUUGAUUUCACACUGCCGAGAAAAGCCUCUAGAUAGAAAAUAGGUGCCCGUACCGCAAACCGACACAGGUAGUCAAGAUGAGAAUUCUAAGGUGAGCGAGCGAACUCUCGUUAAGGAACUCGGCAAAAUGACCCCGUAACUUCGGGAGAAGGGGUGCUCUUUAGGGUUAACGCCCAGAAGAGCCGCAGUGAAUAGGCCCAAGCGACUGUUUAUCAAAAACACAGGUCUCUGCUAAACCGUAAGGUGAUGUAUAGGGGCUGACGCCUGCCCGGUGCUGGAAGGUUAAGAGGAGUGGUUAGCUUCUGCGAAGCUACGAAUCGAAGCCCCAGUAAACGGCGGCCGUAACUAUAACGGUCCUAAGGUAGCGAAAUUCCUUGUCGGGUAAGUUCCGACCCGCACGAAAGGCGUAACGAUUUGGGCACUGUCUCAACGAGAGACUCGGUGAAAUCAUAGUACCUGUGAAGAUGCAGGUUACCCGCGACAGGACGGAAAGACCCCGUGGAGCUUUACUGUAGCCUGAUAUUGAAAUUCGGCACAGCUUGUACAGGAUAGGUAGGAGCCUUUGAAACGUGAGCGCUAGCUUACGUGGAGGCGCUGGUGGGAUACUACCCUAGCUGUGUUGGCUUUCUAACCCGCACCACUUAUCGUGGUGGGAGACAGUGUCAGGCGGGCAGUUUGACUGGGGCGGUCGCCUCCUAAAAGGUAACGGAGGCGCUCAAAGGUUCCCUCAGAAUGGUUGGAAAUCAUUCAUAGAGUGUAAAGGCAUAAGGGAGCUUGACUGCGAGACCUACAAGUCGAGCAGGGUCGAAAGACGGACUUAGUGAUCCGGUGGUUCCGCAUGGAAGGGCCAUCGCUCAACGGAUAAAAGCUACCCCGGGGAUAACAGGCUUAUCUCCCCCAAGAGUUCACAUCGACGGGGAGGUUUGGCACCUCGAUGUCGGCUCAUCGCAUCCUGGGGCUGUAGUCGGUCCCAAGGGUUGGGCUGUUCGCCCAUUAAAGCGGUACGCGAGCUGGGUUCAGAACGUCGUGAGACAGUUCGGUCCCUAUCCGUCGUGGGCGUAGGAAAUUUGAGAGGAGCUGUCCUUAGUACGAGAGGACCGGGAUGGACAUACCUCUGGUGUACCAGUUGUCGUGCCAACGGCAUAGCUGGGUAGCUAUGUGUGGACGGGAUAAGUGCUGAAAGCAUCUAAGCAUGAAGCCCCCCUCAAGAUGAGAUUUCCCAACUUCGGUUAUAAGAUCCCUCAAAGAUGAUGAGGUUAAUAGGUUCGAGGUGGAAGCAUGGUGACAUGUGGAGCUGACGAAUACUAA